rnacentral:rRNA from 1 species
CAGUAGCCGCGGGAAUACGGAAGGUCCAGGUGUUAUCCGGAUUUACUGGGUUUAAAGGGAGCGUAGGCCGCAGGUUAAGUGUGUUGUGAAAAGCAGUCGCCCAACGUCUGCCUUGCAGCGCAAACUGUCCUGCUUGAGUGCGCACAACGCAGGCGGAAUUCGUCGUGUAGCGGUGAAAUGCUUAGAUAUGACGAAGAACUCCGAUUGCGAAGGCAGCUUGCGGGAGCGCAACUGACGCUGAAGCUCGAAAGUGCGGGUAUCGAACAGGAUUAGAUACCCCAGUAGUCCCUGUCUCUUAUAC